GCCGGCGUAGCACGACAGGCCGUGCAGCCGACUUGUAAUCGGCAGGCAGCGGGUUCGAGUCCCGUCGCCGGCUCCA
rnacentral:tRNA from 1 species